rnacentral:rRNA from 1 species
GAUGAACGCUGGCGGCGUGCCUAAUACAUGCAAGUCGAGCGAACAGACGAGGAGCUUGCUCCUCUGACGUUAGCGGCGGACGGGUGAGUAACACGUGGAUAACCUACCUAUAAGACUGGGAUAACUUCGGGAAACCGGAGCUAAUACCGGAUAAUAUAUUGAACCGCAUGGUUCAAUAGUGAAAGACGGUUUUGCUGUCACUUAUAGAUGGAUCCGCGCCGCAUUAGCUAGUUGGUAAGGUAACGGCGUACCAAGGCAACGAUGCGUAGCCGACCUGAGAGGGUGAUCGGCCACACUGGAACUGAGACACGGUCCAGACUCCUACGGGAGGCAGCCGUAGGGAAUCUUCCGCAAUGGGCGAAAGCCUGACGGAGCAACUCCGCGUGAGUGAUGAAGGGCUUCGGAUCGUAAAACUCUGUUAUUAGGGAAGAACAAAUGUGUAAGUAACUAUGCACGUCUUGACGGUACCUAAUCAGAAAGCCACGGCUAACUACGUG